AGAGUUUGAUCAUGGCUCAGAUUGAACGCUGGCGGCAUGCUUUACACAUGCAAGUCGAACGGCAGCGGNNGCAACCUGGCGGCGAGUGGCGAACGGGUGAGUAAUAUAUCGGAACGUACCAUGGAGUGGGGGAUAACGUAGCGAAAGUUACGCUAAUACCGCAUACGAUCUAAGGAUGAAAGUGGGGGCUCGCAAGACCUCAUGCUCGAUGAGCGGCCGAUAUCUGAUUAGCUAGUUGGAGGGGUAAAGGCCCACCAAGGCAACGAUCAGUAGCUGGUCUGAGAGGACGACCAGCCACACUGGGACUGAGACACGGCCCAGACUCCUACGGGAGGCAGCAGUGGGGAAUUUUGGACAAUGGGGGCAACCCUGAUCCAGCAAUGCCGCGUGAGUGAAGAAGGCCUUCGGGUUGUAAAGCUCUUUUGUCAGGGAAGAAACGGUUAUUUCUAAUACAGAUGGCUAAUGACGGUACCUGAAGAAUAAGCACCGGCUAACUACGUGCCAGCAGCCGCGGUAAUACGUAGGGUGCGAGCGUUAAUCGGAAUUACUGGGCGUAAAGCGUGCGCAGGCGGUUUUGUAAGUUUGUCGUGAAAUCCCCGGGCUCAACCUGGGAAUGGCGAUGAAGACUGCAAGGCUGGAAUCUGGCAGAGGGGGGUAGAAUUCCACGUAGCAGUGAAAUGCGUAGAUAUGUGGAGGAACACCGAUGGCGAAGGCAGCCCCCUGGGCUAAGAUUGACGCUCAUGCACGAAAGCGUGGGGAGCAAACAGGAUUAGAUACCCUAGUAGUCC
rnacentral:rRNA from 1 species